rnacentral:rRNA from 1 species
CCUACGGGAGGCAGCAGUGGGGAAUAUUGGGCAAUGGGCGAAAGCCUGACCCAGCAACGCCGCGUGAAGGAAGAAGGCUUUCGGGUUGUAAACUUCUUUUGACAGGGAAGAGCAGAAGACGGUACCUGUCGAAUAAGCCACGGCUAACUACGUGCCAGCAGCCGCGGUAAUACGUAGGUGGCAAGCGUUGUCCGGAUUUACUGGGGGUAAAGGGCGUGUAGCCGGGCUGACAAGGCAGAUGUGAAAUCCGGGGGCUCAACCCCCGAACUGCAUUUGAAACUGUUGGUCUUGAGUAUCGGAGAGGCAGGCGGAAUUCCAAGUGUAGCGGUGAAAUGCGUAGAUAUUAGGAGGAACACCAGUGGCGAAGGCGGCCUGCUGGACGACAACUGACGGUGAGGCGCGAAAGCGUGGGGAGCAAACAGGAUUAGAUACCCCGGUAGUC